GGGUGCUUAGCUCAGCUGGUAGAGCGGCGCCCUUACAAGGCGUAGGUCGGGGGUUCGAUCCCCUCAGCACCCACCA
rnacentral:tRNA from 24 species